rnacentral:rRNA from 1 species
GCUGGCGGCAGGCCUAACACAUGCAAGUCGAACGUGAAGCUGGAGCUUGCUCCAGUGGAAAGUGGCAGACGGGUGAGUAACGCGUGGGAAUUUACCCAGUGGUACGGAAUAACUCAGGGAAACUUGUGCUAAUACCGUAUACGCCCUUCGGGGGAAAGAUUUAUCGCCAUUGGAUGAGCCCGCGUUAGAUUAGUUUGUUGGUGGGGUAAUGGCCUACCAAGACUACGAUCUAUAGCUGGUCUGAGAGGAUGAUCAGCCACACUGGGACUGAGACACGGCCCAGACUCCUACGGGAGGCAGCAGUGGGGAAUAUUGCACAAUGGGCGAAAGCCUGAUGCAGCCAUGCCGCGUGAGUGAAGAAGGCCUUAGGGUUGUAAAACUCUUUCACCGGUGAAGAUAAUGACGGUAGCCGGAGAAGAAGCCCCGGCUAACUCCGUGCCAGCAGCCGCGGUAAUACGGAGGGGGCUAGCGUUGUUCGGAAUUACUGGGCGUAAAGCGCGCGUAGGCGGAUUGGUCAGUUGGGGGUGAAAUCCCGAGGCUUAACCUCGGAACUGCCCUCAAUACUGCCAGUCUAGAGUUCGGAAGAGGUAAGUGGAAUUCCUAGUGUAGAGGUGAAAUUCGUAGAU